rnacentral:rRNA from 1 species
UACGUAGGGGGCGAGCGUUGUCCGGAUUUAUUGGGCGUAAAGCGCUCGCAGGUGGUCCGAUGCGUCGUGCGUGAAAGACCCCGGCUCAACUGGGGGGCGUCGUGCGAUACGGUCGGACUGGAGGCCAGUAGGGGGAUGCGGAAUUCCGGGUGUAGUGGUGGAAUGCGUAGAGAUCCGGAGGAACACCGAUGGCGAAGGCAGGUCUCUGGGCCACUACUGACGCUGAGAAGCGAAAGCAUGGGGAGCGAACAGG